CCUGCACCAUGAAUAUGUUCAUGAGUAUGGAAUCAUGUCAAACUCAAAUACAUAUUCAUAUCGAUUUUUAAUUAAUCAAUGAUGACUCUGAUAAAGAAGUGUUAGAAAUUCUUUCUAAUCUCCUUCUUGUUUUUAGCCAAAAGAAUUUUUUCAAGUCAUCUAGGAUUGAGAAUACAUAGGAUGCGAUCUCCUCUUACUAAAAAUGAUUGAUUCUAGUUGACCUACUCACAACCUCUAUACAUACUCCAC
rnacentral:lncRNA from 1 species